UCAAGCGAACAAGUGCAUGUGGUGGAUGCCUUGGCGAUCACAGGCGAUGAAGGACGCGGUAGCCUGCGAAAAGCGGGGGGGAGCUGGCAAACGAGCUUUGAUCCCCCGAUAUCCGAAUGGGGAAACCCACUCCUUAUGGAGUAUCCGUAACUGAAUACAUAGGUUACGUGAAGCGAACGCGGUGAACUGAAACAUCUAAGUAACCGCAGGAAAAGAAAUCAACCGAGAUUCCCAGAGUAGUGGCGAGCGAAAUGGGACCAGCCUGUACUCUUUAUCUUCAUUGUUAGUCGAAGGCUCUGGAAAGUGCCGCCAUAGCAGGUGAUAGCCCUGUAGACGAAAACAGCGAGGAAGAACUGGGUGUACGACAAGUAGGGCGGGACACGUGAAAUCCUGUCUGAAGAUGGGGGGACCAUCCUCCAAGGCUAAAUACUCGUGAUCGACCGAUAGUGAACCAGUACCGUGAGGGAAAGGCGAAAAGAACCCCGGGAGGGGAGUGAAAUAGAUCCUGAAACCGCAUGCAUACAAACAGUCGGAGCCUCUGCGAAGGGGUGACGGCGUACCUUUUGUAUAAUGGGUCAGCGACUUACAUUCAGUGGCAAGCUUAACCGAUUAGGGCAGGCGUAGCGAAAGCGAGUCCGAACAGGGCGUUCAGUCGCUGGGUGUAGACCCGAAACCAGGUGAUCUAUCCAUGGCCAGGAUGAAGGUGCGGUAACACGUACUGGAGGUCCGAACCCACUAACGUUGAAAAGUUAGGGGAUGAGCUGUGGAUAGGGGUGAAAGGCUAAACAAACCUGGAAAUAGCUGGUUCUCUCCGAAAACUAUUUAGGUAGUGCCUCGUGUAUCACCUUCGGGGGUAGAGCACUGUCAUGGUUGUGGGGUCCAUUGCGGAUUACUACGCCAUAGCAAACUCCGAAUACCGAAGAGUGCAAUCACGGGAGACAGACAUCGGGUGCUAACGUCCGGUGUCAAGAGGGAAACAACCCAGACCGCCAGCUAAGGUCCCCAAAUAUUGCUAAGUGGGAAACGAAGUGGGAAGGCUAAAACAGUCAGGAGGUUGGCUUAGAAGCAGCCAUCCUUUAAAGAAAGCGUAAUAGCUCACUGAUCGAGUCGUCCUGCGCGGAAGAUGUAACGGGGCUAAGCAAUAUACCGAAGCUGCGGAUGCACAUUUAUGUGCAUGGUAGGAGAGCGUUCCGUAAGCCUGCGAAGGUGCAUUGAAAAGUGCGCUGGAGGUAUCGGAAGUGCGAAUGCUGACAUGAGUAGCGAUAAAGGGGGUGAAAGGCCCCCUCGCCGUAAGCCCAAGGUUUCCUACGCAACGUUCAUCGGCGUAGGGUGAGUCGGCCCCUAAGGCGAGGCAGAAAUGCGUAGCUGAUGGGAAGCAGGUUAAUAUUCCUGCACCAUUGUUAAAUGCGAUGGGGGGACGGAUCGCGGAAGGUUGUCCGGGUGUUGGAAGUCCCGGUCCUUGCAUUGGAGAAGGCGCUUAGGCAAAUCCGGGC
rnacentral:rRNA from 1 species